CCUACGGGUGGCAGCAGUGAGGAAUAUUGGUCAAUGGCCGGAAGGCUGAACCAGCCAUGCCGCGUGAAGGAUGACUGCCCUACGGGUUGUAAACUUCUUCUUUAAAGGAAUAAAGUGAGGCACGUGUGCCUUUUUGUACGUAUUUUAUGAAUAAGGAUCGGCUAACUCCGUGCCAGCAGCCGCGGUAAUACGGAGGAUCCGAGCGUUAUCCGGAUUUAUUGGGUGUAAAGGGAGCGUAGAUGGGUUGUUAAGUCAGUUGUGAAAGUUUGCGGCUCAACCGAUAAAUUGCAAUUGAUACUGGCUGCCUUGAGUACAGGUGAGGAAGGCGGAAUUCGUGGUGUAGCGGUGAAAUGCUUAGAUAUCACGAAGAACUCCGAUUGCGAAGGCAGCCUACUAAACUGCCACUGACAUUGAUGCUCGAAAGUGUGGGGAUCAAACAGGAUUAGAUACCCGAGUAGUC
rnacentral:rRNA from 1 species